rnacentral:rRNA from 1 species
CAGCAGCCGCGGGAAUACGUAGGGUGCAAGCGUUAAUCGGAAUUACUGGGCGUAAAGCGUGCGCAGGCGGUUAUAUAAGACAGAUGUGAAAUCCCCGGGCUCAACCUGGGAACUGCAUUUGUGACUGUAUAGCUAGAGUACGGCAGAGGGGGAUGGAAUUCCGCGUGUAGCAGUGAAAUGCGUAGAUAUGCGGAGGAACACCGAUGGCGAAGGCAAUCCCCUGGGCCUGUACUGACGCUCAUGCACGAAAGCGUGGGGAGCAAACAGGAUUAGAUACCCUGUAGUCCCUGUCUCUUAUACA